rnacentral:rRNA from 1 species
AGAGUUUGAUCCUGGCUCAGCAUGAACGCUGGCGGCGUGCUUAACACAUGCAAGUCGAACGAAGCACUUUAUUAGAUUUCCUCCGGAAUGAAGAUUUUGUGACUGAGUGGCGGACGGGUGAGUAACGCGUGGGUAACCCGCCUCAUACAGGGGGAUAACAGUUGGAAACGACUGCUAAUACCGCAUAAGCGCACAGCAUCGCAUGAUGCAGUGUGAAAAACUCCGGUGGUAUGAGAUGGACCCGCGUCUGAUUAGCCAGUUGGUGGGGUAACGGCCUACCAAAGCAACGAUCAGUAGCCGACCUGAGAGGGUGAUCGGCCACAUUGGGACUGAGACACGGCCCAAACUCCUACGGGAGGCAGCAGUGGGGAAUAUUGCACAAUGGGGGAAACCCUGAUGCAGCGACGCCGCGUGAGCGAAGAAGUAUUUCGGUAUGUAAAGCUCUAUCAGCAGGGAAGAAGAAAUGACGGUACCUGACUAAGAAGCACCGGCUAAUACGUGCCAGCAGCCGCGGUAAUACGUAUGGUGCAAGCGUUAUCCGGAUUUACUGGGUGUAAAGGGAGCGCAGGCGGUACGGCAAGUCUGAUGUGAAAGCCCGGGGCUCAACCCCGGUACUGCAUUGGAAACUGUCGGACUAGAGUGUCGGAGGGGUAAGUGGAAUUCCUAGUGUAGCGGUGAAAUGCGUAGAUAUUAGGAGGAACACCAGUGGCGAAGGCGGCUUACUGGACGAUUACUGACGCUGAGGCUCGAAAGCGUGGGGAGCAAACAGGAUUAGAUACACUGGUAGUCCACGCCGUAGACGAUGAAUACUAGGUGUCGGGGAGCAUUGCUCUUCGGUGCCGCAGCAAACGCAAUAAGUAUUCCACCUGGGGAGUACGUUCGCAAGAAUGAAACUCAAAGGAAUUGACGGGGACCCGCACAAGCGGUGGAGCAUGUGGUUUAAUUCGAAGCAACGCGAAGAACCUUACCAAGUCUUGACAUCCCACUGACAGAAUAUGUAAUGUAUUUUCUCUUCGGAGCAGUGGAGACAGGUGGUGCAUGGUUGUCGUCAGCUCGUGUCGUGAGAUGUUGGGUUAAGUCCCGCAACGAGCGCAACCCCUAUUGUUAGUAGCCAGCGGUUCGGCCGGGCACUCUAGGAAGACUGCCAGGGAUAACCUGGAGGAAGGUGGGGAUGACGUCAAAUCAUCAUGCCCCUUAUGACUUGGGCUACACACGUGCUACAAUGGCGUAAACAAAGGGAAGCGAGCCUGUGAGGGGGAGCAAAUCUCAAAAAUAACGUCUCAGUUCGGACUGCAGUAUGCAACUCGACUGCACGAAGCUGGAAUCGAUAGUAAUCGACGAAUCCAGAAUGUCGUCGGUGAAUACGUUCACCGGGUCCUGUACACACCGCCCGUC